UUUCAAGUACAGAAACGAUGCAAAUUCACAGGGUCAAACACAAGUUUAAACGAGGUACAAACAAAAUACGUGGUGCAGAUGAAAAAAACGCGCUGCAAGAAACAAAGACAAAUGCAUCAUCAUCAAAUGUGCUGCAAAUAGAGAAACGAUGCAAAGCGCGAAACGAUGAAAAACAAGAAAACACCUGCAAAAGAAAAACGCUGCAUAAAGAGUCGCCACAACGGAAGUGCUCCAAACCUGCAGGGGGCGCUCAGUGUAACAGCUCAAUGGAGAGACACACCGGCUGGACAGAGAGAAAGGAUCUGCCUUUGAGAGACAGAAAACAGCUGACUGACGAUACACUACAGCGGGGACUAAUGAUUGUUACGACUCCUGUAUGAGGACACAACUUACUGCUGGGGCCACAGAACUGUUGGCUGAUGAGACACUCAUGAUUCAUGAAAUGGGUCAAAUGCAGAUGACAAAGUAAAGUCCACACUGCACUGGAGGUGCUGAACCAGACUCCUGCCACAGAUUAGGACCUGACUUUGAACCUAUCAGACAUAAGGCCCAUUCUGCUCUUCCUCCUCCAGAAGACGAGAGAUACAUCAGACUGAGUGGCCCAAGUACAUUGGUUCAUGCCUUCACUGUCCAUGUCCACACUCACUGAGGAGGAGGUCGUCCAGACUGCAGCAGAUCUGUAGGGCCUCUGGUUGCAUCAGGCCUUCCUCCUGCUGUCUCUAAUGUGUGUUAAUAGUGAUGUGUCCUUAAAGUUUAGGUUUAACUUCUAAUUUCUUGCACAAGUAAAACAGUAAAAUGGUGGUUCCUUUUCAUCUUAGCUGAGGAGCACCUAAACAACUUCAUCACUGAGGCAGUGUAUCAUGAUAAAUGUGGCCUUAUAUGAUAUUACCAAGUGUGUGAGACAAAACUGAAAACAUAUCAUUUACUCAUAAGUUUUUCUGGAUGUUUUUCGUCUAUACUGACAUUUGUUUCAUGGUGAAAUGUGCCGUUUAUUUAGUGUCUCUUUUGGUAGUAACUGAUUACA